rnacentral:rRNA from 1 species
CUACUCGGAAUAGCCUUUCGAAAGAAAGAUUAAUACCGGAUAGUAUACGAAUAUCGCAUGAUAUUUUUAUUAAAGAAUUUCGGUUAUCGAUGGGGAUGCGUUCCAUUAGUUUGUUGGCGGGGUAACGGCCCACCAAGACUACGAUGGAUAGGGGUUCUGAGAGGAAGGUCCCCCACAUUGGAACUGAGACACGGUCCAAACUCCUACGGGAGGCAGCAUG